AUUUCUUGGGCCACUCCCUCAGCAUAUGGAGGUUCCCAGGCUAGGGGUUGAAUCGGAGCUGCAGCCGCCGGCCUACGCCAGAGCCACAGCAACGUGGGAUCCGAGCCGUGUCUGUAACCUACACCACAGCUCACGGCAACACCAGAUCCUUAACCCACUGAGCAAGGCCAGGGAUCAAACCUGCAACUUCAUGGUUCCUAGUCGGAUUCGUUAACCACUGCGCCAUGACGGGACCUCCUAUCCAUUCUAAAUAUAACAGUUUGCAUCUACUAACCUCAAACUCCUAGUCCAUCCCACUUCCCCUACCUCCCUUGGCAACCACAAGUCUGUUCUCUAUGUCUGUGAGUUUGUUUCUGUUUUGCUUUUUUUUGCCAAAACAGAAAUUCCUGGGCCAGGGAUCGAAUCCAAGCUGCAGCUGCAACUGACAGCACAGCUGUGGCAACGCUGAAUUCUUAAACCACUGCACCACGGUAGGGAUUGAACUUGCACUGCUCCACGCAGCUGCAGAGACAGCACUGGAUCCUGAACCUGCUGUACCACAGGGGGAACUCCUGUACCAUAUUUUAUUUUUCUGUCUUUUUAGGGCUGCGCCCACAGCAUCUGGAGCUUCCAGGCUAGGGGUUGAACUGGAGCUGUCGCCGCCAGCCUACAUCACAGCCACAGCAACACUGGAUCCUUAACCAGAUAGGCGAGGCCAUGGAACAAACCCGGGUCCUCGUGGAUGCUAGUCAGGUUCGUUUCCACUGAGCCAUAACAGGACCUCCGUUUGUGCCAUGUUUUAGAUUCCUUGUGUAAGUGUUGAUUAUCAUAUGUAUUUGUCCUCUUUCUAACUUGCUUCACUUAGUCUGAUACCCUCUAGCUGCAUCUGAUGAAUUUCUGCAGGGACGGUUGCCUGGCUCCCAGCAGCCACUCUUCCCUUCUGCUUUUGGGACAAAACCCUGGUUUGGAGCCUGGCAUGCAGCAGUCCAACCAGGGGAGCACACUUCCAAGGCGCCCUCACAGCAGCCCAGGGCUGAGGGGUAGAAUACUCCAGAAGUCAUCUUUGACAAGGGGCGCAUAAGCCCCGGGGGGGUACCUUCAUGUUUCACCUGGUGCACUCACGUGACGGCUCAUACGACUCCUGCCUCGGUGAUGGGGACUCGGGCGGGACCCCACUGACCACAUGCUAAUCCCAAUGCAUGGGCAGGCACAGCUUGGUACUGCUGGUCUGCUCAGGGUCUCUCCGGGCUUGGAUGUGAGUCUGUCCUGGAACUAGCUGGAACUGGGACCAGUAGCUCAAGAAGCAGCCUAGGCUUUGGGCAGCUCCCGGCCGGCCUACACUCAGAAUGGCACAUACAAGACUAGAGAUUGAUGGCAGUGGCACCCCCCCGCCCAAGACUUGUUUCCAUUUGCCAUUUUGGCCCAAACUGGGGCUCCCCUCCGUAAACCUGCUCUCUGCUUGCCACAGUCUGUCCUGCCCAACUAAAGCCCAGGGCCUACCUAAGCCGUCUCCAGGGAAGACGUCCUGCCUACACAGCCCUCACUCAUCCUUCUCCUUGGGCUUCAUCGCGUCACCCUUCCCAUCAUGCAGCGGUGUCACUCUGAAUCUUCUGAGGACACUGGCUAUGGGGUCAGGCUUUGGGUCGUCCCCCUUUUGUCCCACCCCAUGUAAACAGGGCUGCUCCUAUUCCUGGGACAGGUGGUCUGUGUCUCCAGAAAUACAUAAUUUAGCAACAGAGUAAACUUCUAUCACAUUUUCACUAGAGUAAAAAGUCUAUUUUGUGAAUACUUUCAACCCAUCAACUGCCCAACACAUUAAGUAGCACUAAAUGCACUGAGAAUUUUAAAAAAGAAGGAAUAAAGGCGGCCCGUACUCAUCCACGCUUGAAACUGCUGACUCUGUGCUUGACGGGGCCUCCUGCGCAGCUGCGCCAAUAGUCACAGCCCUGGCGCCUGUUCUGGAGAGGAAGUGCUCUGAGCAGAGGGAGGCCAGAGGACCUGCCUCCUCCUCCUCGUUCCUGGAGACGAGAAAGGAGGAUUCAGGUGUUGACUGCUUUGCUCUAUUCUCCACUAACAAAGACAAGACCACGUGACUGCAUCUCCAGUCCAGUUCCGGGCUUCUGGUUCAUUAACGCCACGACACUAGGAAAUACAACCUGAAAAAGGUGCCCUACAGGAGUGGUGUCAGGACAAGAGAACGUAUGGCAUGGCCUUUCCGGGUCACAGGAACCCCCACCCUCUAUCCACAGGCAGGAUUGGUAUUGGACAAGCCAGGACGUCUCUGGACUUGGAGACGAGAAGACCCAGCGACACGGGGCACUGCAGAGGGAAGCCACCCGGGCUGAGGCCCAGAACCCUCAAGCCUGGAGGCAGCAGGUGCCAGGUGAGCUGGGUACUGAACGACGAGCAGGGGCUCUCGCCUGAGGACGCGAGCAGAGGGGGGGACGGGCACAAGCAGCCCCCAGGACACAGAGGGCACUGAGGGCACGGGUGCAUCUGGGGAUGGUGCAGUGGCUCACUGCUCUGGUGUCGGGACAUGGCUUUCAGGGGCACCUUCUGUCACAGGACUCCUGGUGCCACACGAAUGAGCAGGAUGCAUACGCUCCUGCUUCCCAGCUCGCGUCCACGCAGGCGCGCCUGCUCUGAGUGCGCAUUCACACCUACCCACGCCUGCCGGCAGCUCCACGCCUGCAGGAGCUGGCAUGCCAGGUGCCCCACACUAGGAAGCUUCCUCUCUGGUCCCCAAGACCUGGCUUUCCAGGGCAGCAGGAUCUGUUUGGUCUGGUGGCAGCAGAACUCCCCCCGGAGGCCUGCCAAGCUGCUCCCUAAGAAGUGUUGGACCAGAGUCCCCUUAACAGAAGAAAGGUUCACUGAGCCACUUUAUUAGGUGGUGACAAGACAGAGCCUGUCCAGCCCAAGGGCAGCCCCAGUCCUGCCUUUGCAGGCGCCCCUCCCUUCCCCACGAGCAGCCUCUCUUCUCUGCUUGUCUCCCCCGCCAGACAGGGCUUCUGCUCGGCCCCAAGCCUCGGAGCACCUUCAUGCAGCACAGGCUGCACCGGGUUUCAAGGCUGCGUCUCUGCUCCUCUUCCCGUGAGAACAAGCUUCUAGAGGAUACAGGUUUUACCCUGUUUUUCGAUCCUCCGAGCUCCGCACAGGGCCCUCCAGAGUAGCUGUCCCACCCUAACCACCCCCGCUAAAAUAUGAACGUCGAUAAACGAACACGUGAACAAUGAUCGGAAGUCUUCACACCUGGUGCUGAAGCGACUGAGAAGCACUGGGGCCGUUUACCUUGGAGAAGCACAACCCAGGGAAGGAAUGCAAAUUUCACCUUCGUACACUUGAGCCUUGCCUGGUUAAAGCUCCCAAGGGCCGGAGACACGACCAGGGCCGGCAGGGCACGGAGGGACACCAGAAAAAUGCAGAAACAGGCAGCACGCCCCCCCGGGCCCCUGCUGUAGGCAUGAGGGCCCCGGCCCUGGAGGCGUCCCAGGAGAAGCUGGAGGAGUUUCUAACGAGUGAGUGAAGACUUCCCUUCUGCUUGACGGAUGAGUUCUGGCUUAAAAUAACCCUCCGAGGUGGGUUAAGUGGGUGGGAUGUAGAUGGAGCAGGAAGUUACAAGAGGCACAGGCUGUGGGAAGAGCUGUGGUAUGAUCAGUUGUCUCUCUUCUCGGUGACACCCUGCUCCCUAUUUACCACCCCAGCUAAAAGCCACAGGGAUCCAGGGAGCUGGGAGCAAAUGUGAGAGCCUCAGAGUGUGUAACCAAUCCGCCCAGCACACAACCAACCAACAAAAUUUAUCAAUAAGGCACCAGAAGUCUUCCCGGCCAUGGCCCUUAGAUCUGGAUGGUCCCCGCCCGACCCGGACCGCUUUCUCGGAGGGGGGCUCCUGCUUAGCAGUUCUCACCUUCGGCUUGGCACAGGGUCAGAGCCAACUGGAGCACGGGCCCCUGUUAACACCCAAGUCAAUCUCUGGCUGACCUCCUGACUGGACCCUUUUAACCAAGUGAAAUCCAAACACUGCACUGACCGUGCGACAGCUGGCGGUGUGGGACAGACAAAAGAACUACGCCACACGCUUCAACACACACCUCGUACUUGCUGGCAAGCGUUAGGCGACACAGGACCUGCCUGGUCCAAGCUGAACGGCCCAGCGUGGGCACUGGCCGUACAGGCAGCGGCGGGGGCGGGUAGUGAAGUGCGCUGGCCCUGCCUGGCCUGAGGGCGGCCGCUCAUCUCACCUCUGCACCUCGUCUGUAAAACAGGCAAGUCGUGGUCGCUGCUGGAGACCAAGCAGGACGGGCCACAAACCAAAACACGGCUUCCAGCAGCUGCAGCCCGGGCUGGCCGGGGCACACGCGGCUAUGGGGACUCGCUAGCAGACAUCUGGUGCUUUCCAGACCUCUCGCCUGAGCUCCUCCACCCUCACCGGCAGCAUCCCAUGGAGACCAGUCUGCGCCAUGCACCGGGCUCUGUGCUGGGUGCCUGGGUUACGGGAGAAAGAAAGACGACAGUCCCUGUCCCUCGGUGCUUACAUUCCAGUAAGGGAAGGGAGGGCACACCCAGAGAUAAAGUGGCCCCGUGGACAGCGCAGGUGGCCCGGGAGACGGCUGCAGCAGGCAGCGAAGGGCAGAGUGGGGUAAGCAGGCCUGGGAGCGCGGGUGCAGGCGAAACCUGAAGGCCAGGGCAGGCCGAGGUGGAGACAUCUGCCUCCUGUCGAGUGUCCCACGGCUUCUCCCUGUCCUCUGGGAGCACCAGCAGGGCCUGGGCCAGGAAGGCGGUGGCACAGGCCUGUCAGCUUUCCUAAGAGCAGCCUCAGAGCCCACACCUCUACACUCUAUCAAGCCCCCGAUGGCAGGGCAGUGGCCUCUCCUGAGAGCAGAGGCCGAUGUUCAAGGGCGUCUGGGCCCUGGGUGAGCUGGAGGGAAGAGAAGAGGACCAGCUCCCAGCCUGGGCUUCUGUUGGUUGGUUGGCUGGUUUUUAGGGCCACAGGUGCAGCGUAUGGGAGCUCCCAGUCCCAGGCUAGGGGUCAAAUCAGAGCUACAGCGGCCGGCCUACGCAACAACCACAGGAAUCUGUGGUGUAGGCCAGCAGCUGUAGCUCUGCUUGGACACCUAGCCUGGGAAACUCUAAAUGCUGUGGGUGCGGCCCUAAAAAGACCAAACAAAAAAAAAAAGAAGACCAGUGUGAGCUGCCAUAUUUGCAGCACCUGCCAGCUGUGCUGCUCUGCACGUGCCCUCUGGGGGACCCAAGCCAACAACCCAGAGAGAUAUGAUUACAACAGGCUGUCUUUAUGAGGAGAAAACCCAAGGGCAAGAAGCUGGGAGCUGGAAAACAGGCUGCCCAAGUCAAGGGUACACACCUCUAAGCCACACUGUCCGACUCGCUGGCAGUGUUGGAUUCUCAACACCCUGAGGGAGACCAGGAUUGAACCCACAUCCUCACGGACACUGUGUUGGGUUUAUUUUUUUCCUCUUUUUUUUGGGUCACAUCUGCAGUAUAUGGAGGUUCCCAGGCUAGGGGUCAAAUCAGAGCUCCAGCUGCCAGCCUACACCACAGCCAUGGCACUGGGGAUCCAAGCUGUCUGCAACCUACACGCCAGCUCACAGCAAUGCUGGAUCUUUAAUCCACUGAGCGAGGCCAGCGGUUAAACCCACCACAUCUUGGUUCCUAGUUGGAUUUGUUUCCACUGCCCCGCAAUGGGAACUCCCAUGGUGGGUUCCUAACCUGCUCAGCCACAAUGGAAACUCCACAAUUCAGCUUCUUUUUUCCUUUUGCUGUUUUGGGCCACACACACCCAAAAUAGGUUGGGAGUCGAAUGGGAGCUACAGCUGCCGGCAUACACGAAAACCAGAGCAAUUUGGGAUCCGAGGCACAUCUUCGACCUACACCACAGCUCACGGCAAUGCCGGAUCCCCAACUCACGGAUCGAGGCCAAGGACUGAACCUGUAUCCUCACGGAUCCCGGUUGGAUUUGUUCCCACUGUGCCACAAUGGGAACUGCCCCCAAUUCCCUUUCACAUGGGACUCUGCUGCCUGUUCGGAGUGACUCCUAAGACGCUUGCGCCAGCCUCUCCCGGCCCUGCGGGCCCCGCUGCAGUGACCUGUGGGGAGGGGAGAGGAUCACUUCCUGGAAGAGUCCUUUUUUCUUUUUUUUUUG
rnacentral:lncRNA from 1 species